rnacentral:rRNA from 1 species
CCUACGGGUGGCAGCAGUGAGGAAUAUUGGUCAAUGGCCGAGAGGCUGAACCAGCCAAGCCGCGUGAGGGAAGACGGCCCUACGGGUUGUAAACCUCUUUUGUCCGGGAGCAAAGGGAGUCACGUGUGACUCAUUGAGAGUACCCGAAGAAAAAGCAUCGGCUAACUCCGUGCCAGCAGCCGCGGUAAUACGGAGGAGGCAAGCGUUAUCCGGAUUUAUUGGGUUUAAAGGGUGCGCAGGCGGCCAGGCAAGUCAGCAGUGAAAGCCCGGGGCCCAACCCCGGGACUGCUGUUGAUACUGGUUGGCUGGAGAACAGGAGCGGUAGGCGGAAUGCGUGGUGUAGCGGUGAAAUGCGUAGAUAUUAGGCGGAACACCGGUGGCGAAGGCAGCCUGCUGGACUAUUACUGACGUUGAGGCACGAAGGCGUGGGGAUCAAACAGGAUUAGAUACCCGAGUAGUC